GGCCAUUGUCCAUCUCCAGAGAAGCGCAAGGCCAUUGUCCAUCUCCAGAGAAGCGCAAGGCCAAUAGCCCACUAGAUAAGGCUAUCGAGGAGCCGUCUGAAAUAGAUGUACUUACUGCGUUAUUUGAAAUGAAUGGAUAUCUUGUUGACACAGUUUUGGGAUAAAAUAAAACAGAUUAAGUGAUGGGUGUCAGGCUCUAUGGUGUGUUUGACUACAACACUACUGAUGUCGCACAAUCUGCCGGGGAUGAAGUGGCAGAUGCCAUCGCAAGUGUUUGCACAUGAUGCAGUAAUAGACAAAGCAUAUCAAGGUGCAGUGUCCUAGGCUCCUAGGUGUUCAAAGGUUCAUGCAUAUCCAAGUGUUCUUGACCCAUGAAGUAGCAGACUAGCAGCCACGUACAUGUUCACUCUGCAUGGAGAUUCAGUAUGCAUAUAUCAAGAAAAUAUAUUAGACAGUGUUAUUCCCAUUUUCUGGCAACAAGCAGAGUGACUGCUAAGCUCUUCAGCAUGUCCGCAGUCAAUCUGGUAGCAAAAGCAGUUGCAAAGGAAAGUUGACUACAUUGACAAAAAAAUAGAUGUUUGCUUUAUUCUAUUAUGCAGAACUAUACUACAUUAUAUCUUUAGACUGGGACACUGAUGUAUAGACCAUCAUUUUUUAGUACUUAGAAGGGGUUCAUGGCAAAAGAUAAAUUUCAGAUGUACAUGGUAUAACUUUCACCUUUGAGGUUCUUCAGGACAUGUUCUAUUUGAUGUUCUUCAGGAGAGGUUCAAGAUUACAUUCAAGGAGAGAAUGUAGCCAUAGUGACAUUCAUGAAGUGAAGCAACUGCCAGCAUUGUAGGAGAGGUGUAGUCGGGGCUGUCAUACCAUGUAAAUCAGUGAGCUACUCUUUGUAGAGUUGCUACGAAAUUUAUGUUAAUUUCCUGCGGAUGAAUAAGUUCCUAAUAUUGUUUUAAUGAAUUUCUAUUUCGUGUUGUCUA